rnacentral:rRNA from 1 species
AUGAACGCUGGCGGCGUGCCUAAUACAUGCCAGUCGAGCGAACGGACGAGAAGCUUGCUUCUCUGAUGUUAGCGGCGGACGGGUGAGUAACACGUGGAUAUCCUACCUAUAAGACUGGGAUAACUUCGGGAAACCGGAGCUAAUACCGGAUAAUAUUUUGAACCGCAUGGUUCAAAAGUGAAAGACGGUCUUGCUGUCACUUAUAGAUGGAUCCGCGCUGCAUUAGCUAGUUGGUAAGGUAACGGCUUACCAAGGCAACGAUGCAUAGCCGACCUGAGAGGGUGAUCGGCCACACUGGAACUGAGACACGGUCCAGACUCCUACGGGAGGCAGCAGUAGGGAAUCUUCCGCAAUGGGCGAAAGCCUGACGGAGCAACGCCGCGUGAGUGAUGAAGGUCUUCGGAUCGUAAAACUCUGUUAUUAGGGAAGAACAUAUGUGUAAGUAACUGUGCACAUCUUGACGGUACCUAAUCAGAAAGCCACGGCUAACUACGUG